UCGCCCCGACCGGAGCGCCAACGCCCGAGCCGCCAUCUUUACUGCGGGCAGAGCUGCCCGUCCCGCUGCGGGCGCGCUCCGGGGCAGCCGCGGCGGGACAGGGAGGCGGGGACGCGCCCCCGCCCGGGAGCGGGGAGAGCCGAGCGGGAUUCACCUUCCCGCCUGCGGUACUGCGGCUCCACGGGUAACUUGUAGUCGGAGUGUGACCCGUGCUUCCAGUACGGGGUCGGCAUGAAGAAGUUGAUAAAGCUGCAUGAAGAAGUUGAUAAAGCUGGUAGCUACGCCUGUAAGAGGUGCACUGUCUUGUGACUGGUCAGCAGAGAGUUGCUCAGGAGCCGCAGCUUUUCUCAGGGGUCAGUACUGCAGCCUGUAGGCAGAGCCAGUGUGGUGGUGGGGACAGACCAGACUACAGCUACAGCAGCUCUUCCUGCAAGAGCUUUGCAAGCUCACAGAAUAAGUGAUGAGAUUGGGAACCACUAUAUCAUGCUGAAGGAUCAAUGAAAGCAAAGACAUUGACACAGAGGCUUAUGGAGACCCCAAAAACAUAAAGAACAAAUGGAGCUGAUGAAGAAAGCAGUGGUGCCCUUGUGAGAACAGAAUGGUGGGAUGAAGAGAAAGCUGUUUUGAAGCUCUGCCACAUGAAGACCCAGGCACUUUCUCAGGGUGGGGGACCACAAAAGUAUGGUGAAGCUCUGUAAAGAGUACAUGCUGUCGGCCUGAAGAGAUUGUUCGUUGGCAACAUAAGACAUUUUAAGGAGUCUUAAACUUUCAAGCCCUUCACUUAAAAUCUGAAAACAUACAGCUUUUCAAUAGCAUGCACACAUCUGGUAGUUGCAGGAAACUGCCAAGUCCUUGACUCUAGAAUCAUAUUUAACAUUCUAGCACAUAUGUGAUGUAUACUCUUGUUUUCCCAGAAUGCUCUGAGCUUCUUUUCCAAUUCCUAAUAAAAAAUUUUAAGUCUUCAGUAUACACAUUUAUGUAGUUUCUUUAGAGCCAAAAUUUACACAAAAUAACUUAGGUCUGUGUAAAGGACACUGUGACUUGCAUCUAAAAUUGUGUGUGACAUCUUGCAUUGGUCAUCAGUUUUUUCAUUGUGAAGACAUAACUUCAACUAUUGCCUUCCUUUUUAGAGAAUGCUUCCUUCUAUCAUAUUUUUAUACCUGAUUCUGACUCAAGGCUUACAGAGUUCCUGCCAACAUACCGUUUUAUUUCAGCUCAGAACACCUCAUCCAGGAACAACAGCGAUGGCUAUCUUGAAUAAAGGCAUUGGCUCUUUUUCGUGGCA